CUUGCUUUCUUUUGCUGGCGACCGGCGCACGGGUGAGUAACACGUAUCCAACCUGCCCUUUACUCGGGGAUAGCCUUUCGAAAGAAAGAUUAAUACCCGAUAGUAUAAUGAUUCCGCAUGGUUUCAUUAUUAAAGGAUUCCGGUAAAGGAUGGGGAUGCGUUCCAUUAGGUUGUUGGUGAGGUAACGGCUCACCAAGCCUUCGAUGGAUAGGGGUUCCGAGAGGAAGGUCCCCCACAUUGGAACUGAGACACGGUCCAA
rnacentral:rRNA from 1 species